UAGGGAAUCUUCCGCAAUGGGCGAAAGCCUGACGGAGCAACGCCGCGUGAGUGAAGAAGGAUUUCGGUUCGCAAAGCUCUGUUGUUAGGGAAGAAUGAUUGUGUAGUAACUAUACACAGUAGAGACGGUACCUAACCAGAAAGCCACGGCUAACUACGUGCCAGCAGCCGCGGUAAUACGUAGGUGGCAAGCGUUGUCCGGAAUUAUUGGGCGUAAAGCGCGCGCAGGUGGUUUAAUAAGUCUGAUGUGAAAGCCCACGGCUCAACCGUGGAGGGUCAUUGGAAACUGUUAAACUUGAGUGCAGGAGAGAAAAGUGGAAUUCCUAGUGUAGCGGUGAAAUGCGUAGAGAUUAGGAGGAACACCAGUGGCGAAGGCGGCUUUUUGGCCUGUAACUGACACUGAGGCGCGAAAGCGUGGGGAGCAAACAGGAUUAGAUACCCUGGUAGUCCACGCCGUAAACGAUGAGUGCUAAGUGUUGGUCUCAUAAGAGAUCAGUGCUGCAGCUAACGCAUUAAGCACUCCGCCUGGGGAGUACGACCGCAAGGUUG
rnacentral:rRNA from 1 species